GUUGGAAUAAUGAAAGAGAGCUGGUGUGAUAAGAGGAACUGCAGUUUGGUUUUGUUCCUGGUAAAAUAAAGCACAUGUGGAAGGGGCCGGGGCGAGCAGCUCGGGUUCACGGCGUGUUCGGUGCAUGGGGCAAAACAGGGAUGAAACAGGGAUGGGAGUUGGGAAGGAAGCGAGGGUCCCAGCCUGGCUCCAACAGGGGGAAGGCAAGGGGGGCUCGGAAGACGUUGCUGCCCAUAUGGUGUGUAUUACAAGCUCCUUUCUAGUUGUAAAGAUUAAUUUAAAGCCUUUCUCACCUCCCCCCCAUCCCUCUUGCAGUGACAAAUGAACAUCUGGGCUGAAUGCUGCCCAGAUCCUAAUCAAAGCAUUUUUUCCAGGGCCGUUGUCUGCCUUUAUGGCGAUCUGCUGUUGGGAUUCGCUGCAGUUUCAAUGCACUUGGCAAUUCGAGGCUGUAAAUACCCCUCCCUGGGAUUUAUGAUUCAGGAGAAUGGGAUGGUUCCCCCCCCCUUUCUUUUUGCUGCUUGAUUCGUUUGUUUGGUUUGGUUUAACGGCAUCUUCUUGUCCGUGCAUAAGUUACAGCACGAGGGGAGGUUGGUUUCCCUCCCCUCUUUGCUGUGAGGUAUUAACAAUUAGGUACAAUGGAUUUGCUAAUCCAUCGCUGGUGGAGGUACCAGAGAGCCCCGAAUCCCUGUCGAGCAUCUCCCGGUCAUCCCAAAGCAUCCCUUUUGCUUACAGAGUAGAUGGAGAAAGGAGCUUCCUGCCAAAGGGACGCCGAGUCCUUUCCAUGAUGCUCAAGGGCUUCUUCACCAGGGGAAGCAUAAGCCACAGCCUGAUAUGGAAAAGCCCUUUGCUUCCCAAAAUGAUGCUGAAGCACAUGAUGGAGAUGCUGGAAAAUAAGGAAUGCUGUGGUCCCAUUCCCAUCGGACUCAUUUUUCAACCCUGUGUUAAAGGAUGAAUAUUUGAAGCUUACCUGGGAUGUUGAAUAGUGGUGGUGGUGGUACCCCAGGUACCAUAGGAAAGGACAGUGCUUGAACUGGGGCAAAGAGGUAGGAAAAUCCCUUUAGGACAAACAGAGGGACAUGGUGCAGGGUCCCCUGUGUUGCUCCCGGUCCCUGAAUGAGAACAGAGCUGGGAAACACAAAGAUGAUGGCUUUGGGGUGUAUUCAGAGCAGAUUCAUCCCUGCAGGAAACAUUCCUCCUCCUCAUCCCAGGCUUCUUCCUUUCCCAGGCUGCUUAUUUAUCCCGAUGGAUGCCUCGAGGUGCGUGAUUUCAGGCCAUUUAAACCAGGAAGGAGAGCUCUUGUUUCUACAGCAAGGGCAUGAGGUAAUGGCAAUGGCAAUUGAAGGUGUUCCGAGCGAGCUAAAAAAUCACUGCAGUGCAAAGCACUUUGCUGCUCCUCCUUGGAUCUCCAGGAUGAGGGAUAACCUGAAUCCCAGAGCCUCCUCCGGUGACGCAGGGAUGGGUACCAUCCACCACCAGCACCCUCUCCACGCAGGGAAGCCAAGCUUUGGCUGGGAAAUGGGAAUGGGUUGGGAAUGGUGGGGGCUUACACUGAUUUCCAGCUUGAAGCUGAGGCGACUGUUUCCAUGUGCAGCCAAAACACAUCUUGGUUAUUGCAGGGAGAGCUACACUUUGGGAGCAUCCUUGCUCAGGGUUUGGAGCAGGGACAGGUUAUUCCCCUUCAUGGGCGCUGGGGGUGUUUUUCCCAAGAAACACAGAAUUUCCCUUGAAUAUGAUGAGCCAGGAUGCAGCAGGGGAAUCCUGGAAGGGAUUUGGGGCCAUUUCUGGGGUAGUUAUUAAUACCUUUGAGAUUUUACUGCUGAUUUGGGGAUCGCUCGGCACCUCCUGCCUCUUUUCCAUCCCUUUCCUCCUCAAUAUCCCCUAAGUGCUGACAAUGACCGUGGGUCUUCCCAGUGAUGCCAAUGCUUCCCCAUUGAUCUCAAAGUCAAGGUGAAGCCUAGCUUUGGUCCACAGCUGAGCCAGAACAUCCAUGGGGUGAGAGCAGCCACGGGCAUCCUGAAGGCAGCUUCCAAAUUCCUGCACAGCCAAAUCCCGCCUGGGGCUGCCAGGAAACCUGGCCAGCAACAAGUACGUGCCGUUUCUGUACCCACAACACAGCCAGGAGUGCUGUUACUCUGCUGGUGACGAUGAUGGGAUGGAGCUGCAACCUUCCCGAGGAUGCGAUCCCAUCCAUUCCCGGGCUGCAGCCGGCUCCCUGCUCUUGGUGCUGCCCCGGGGAAGGUGCUCAGUGCAGUGGCAUCAACCUCCCCUUCAUCCUUGCCUUUUAUAAGCCAUAAAAACCCCUCUAUCCCACCCCAGAUUCCCUAAACUUCAUCCUCCCCGUAACCUCCCGCUUUCCCGGCGCAUGGAAGCUCAUCAGCUCGAUUGGCUCCCGCUGGGAUUUACGAUCCCGGGGACUUCCUGCGCUGCCUUUCAACGCGCUCCCCUCCUUCCCGCCACCCAUAAAUCAAAGCUGUUUGUUUCGGGUUGCUCCUUCCCCUGUGUUUUUAUCCCCAUCCCUGCCUCCCUCAGUCCCUGAGAGUUUUGUGGGAUGCUGGAGGUGCCAGAGCAGCCCCGAGGCCACGGUGAGGGCACCCGUUGGGUCUCCAUGUGCAAUGUCCAUAGCUUGGAAAAGGGGAUGGGGAAUGUGUUUGGGAAGAUCCUGCAUUGCUGGUACAGCCGAAACACCGCUCCCCGUGUCUGAACACCACCGGGAUGCAGCCCCGCACCCAGAGGCCCUCAAGGCUUUGGGGCUUUCCGUUGAGUCCAUCCCAACGUGAUCCCAAAGCGAUUUUACGGGAAGCCUUGGGUCGGGAAUCCAGAGCCACGGUGCAUGGGGCUGCACAUGGAGCAUCCUCCUGGCCGUGGCGGGGAUGCGGAGCCAGCUCCAUCCGUGCCCACCCAUGGGAGGCCUGAUCCGGUCUUUCCACUGGUGACUCAUGGAAAAAGCCUUGUUUUGCAGGGGCCACUCGGCACGACGGGCGUUCCUGCCUCACUCCGCUGCUUUUCGACAUCUUCGGCAUGAAAACAUCUGGAAUCCUGACCUUCCUGCGGAGCUUGCCUCACCUGAAGGCAUUCCCCCCCUUCCCUAUACGUGUGCAGGGCUGGCUGCGCACACAAACCGUGCUCCGGCCGCUUGGGAAGCAGCCCGGUCGCACUUCCAGGGUUGAAUUCUUUGGGAAUUACUCUUUCAGAGCAGCUCUCACACAAUGGUGCAGGGUUUGGAGGGUUUCCACCGCCCCGCGCCAGCUCCUUGCGGGCUGCUUUGGGUACAGCGUGUGCCGGGCUGCAUGGGGCCCCCCAAAGCUUCUCUGUAGGGUUUAUGGCACAACCUGGAGUGAUGGGGCUGGGGAUUGAGCCUGGCUUAUUCCAGGUGUCCCAAGGCCAGGGUGGAGCGGGAUCUCGCUGGCUUUAGGGAGCAAGAAGGAUCCACCACUAGAUUUGGGUUAGAACACUGCAAAUGGUGAAUCAUGCUGAUGUGUCACCCCAGCACUGUGCUUCAUCCCAAAUACUUGCUUUUCCCUUCUUUUCCCAGCCGUCCUUCAGAGGGCAGGGAUGGAGCGCGGACCAUUCCUGGUGGGAUCAGCCUAUCCCAGCCCUGUCACAGAGGGAGCCCUGGGCAGCUCUAUAUUUAACUGAAUUGGCUUUCCUCUUGGAGAAGGGGCAUGGAGAGGGCUGCUCCUUCAGUGCUCAUUGCUGUGAGCUUUCCCACCUGACUUCUCACACCUUCACACAGCCCUGACCCUGCUGCUGCUCUCUGGAAAGCAGAUUAAUGGGGUUUUGUUUGGGGGGGGGGUGGUGGUGGUCAGGACAUGGUUUAGUUUGGAAGCUGGGAUGGAAAAUGAUUUCCAACCCCCAAAUUAGAAACAGAAUGAUCCUUGAAGUGCCUUGUUUUGGAGGGGGUGGUGUGUGUCAUCCCACAGCAAUGAGAAGCACGUGCUGAAGAGGAGCAAAGAGCUGUGAUUUAUUUCCUCUUAAUGCUACCCAAAGGACUGGCUCGGCUCCGAGAUGCUGCUCUCACUCCCUUGUUACCCAUCCAUGGGGACGGCUGAGCUGCUGUGGGCAGGGGACACCCAUGUGAUGGGUGGUGCUGGGGGGGGGACCAGACUGUGUCACCCAAUUUAGUUGUUUUUGUGGGGAAAAGGGGAUUGUUUUGUGGGGUAUUUUUGCCCUGCUCUUCCCAAAGGGGUUUGGAUGGAGAGCUGAUGUGAAGUGAUGGGAUAAGAGCCAGUGCUUUGCUGUGAUGGUUUGUCAGUGCAGUGGAUUACAGUGAUUUUGCUGUGGGUUGCUCUAUGGUCUCUAUCUCCCCAAAACCAUCAGGUCCUAUGAGAACUGGGCCAGACUCUCGGAUAAAGAAGCCCUGCUGGGGCAGUAGCUGGUCCUGCCUGCGAUGGGCUCAUCCCUGCACUCACCAGAGUUGCCAAAACCCCCUUACAAAUAACAUACAUCUUUAAAUUGCAAGGAUUUCCCCCAUGGUGGCUGCUCAGGGGCUCAAAGACCCAACUUAAAGCUGACUUGCUGCUGCAGAGGAGCCUUCACCCACUCUAUUUAUUUCUCUUGUUGGGUCUAACAUGCACCCAAAAGCAGUGCUGGAGCUGAGGUGCCCCAUCCUGCCCUUGGGGUGCCCCGGGGUGGGUUUUGUGGGACAUGGAGCCAGUCGCUGGGAUUUAAUAAGACACUUAUUGUAUGUUACGUAUCAAGAGCUGAUAGGAAACGUGUCCCCAGGAUUAACAGCCGUGUAGAAGAUAAAGCAGGGAGUUCAACCUCCAAGGAGCACGUUUCAAAUAACCCACUGUUGCUGCAGCGUGGAAUAACCAGGGUAAGGAGUGGGAUGGGUGAAGGUCAAACCGGUAUCACAGGUCACCAUGUCCCAGGAACCACGGGAUGAGGCCGGUGAUGCCUAUGGAUGCUGGUUAUAGUGCAGGAGCAACGUCAGUUCCGUCUUCUCCCAUUUCUUCCUCCUCUUCCACCUCUCCCCUCUCUUUUUGCUUUUCCCAGGCCCCAAUUUCUCCCCCGUGGAGGCAAAAGCUUUGGCUAAUUAGCAAAACGUGUCAAAGAGAAUGAUGAAUGGCCCGGGAGGAGGUUUAGCUGCCUUUGUGCCUGACUUCUGCUCUUAAAGGGUUUAUUAGACGAUAAGGGAGCUCA